CCCUACGGGAGGCAGCAGUAGGGAAUCUUCCACAAUGGACGAAAGUCUGAUGGAGCAACGCCGCGUGAGUGAAGAAGGGUUUCGGCUCGUAAAACCCUGUUGUUAGAGAAGAAAGUGCGUGAGAGUAACUGUUCACGUUUCGACGGUAUCUAACCAGAAAGCCACGGCUAACUACGUGCCAGCAGCCGCGGCAAUACGUAGGGGGCAAGCGUUAUCCGGAUUUACUGGGUGUAAAGGGAGCGUAGACGGCAGCGCAAGUCUGAAGUGU
rnacentral:rRNA from 1 species